UGCGUAGGCGGCCCGGCAAGUUGGGUGUGAAAGCCCUCGGCUCAACCGAGGAAUUGCGCCCAAAACUACCGGGCUAGAGGAAGACAUAGGUGAGCGGAACUUAGGGUGGAGCGGUGAAAUGCGUUGAGAUCCUAAGGAACACCAGUAGCGAAAGCGGCUCACUGGGUCUUUUCUGACGCUGAGUGCACGAAAGCUAGGGGAGCGAAGA
rnacentral:rRNA from 1 species